rnacentral:rRNA from 1 species
UACGAAGGGUGCAAACGUUGCUCGGAAUUAUUGGGCGUAAAGCGCACGUAGGCGGCUUUGCAAGUCGGAUGUGAAAUCCCUCGGCUCAACCAAGGAAGUGCAUCCGAAACUGCAGAGCUUGAGUACCAAAGAGGAUCGCGGAAUUCCCGGUGUAGAGGUGAAAUUCGUAGAUAUCGGGAGGAACACCAGUGGCGAAGGCGGCGAUCUGGGUGGAUACUGACGCUGAGGUGCGAAAGCGUGGGGAGCGAACAGG